rnacentral:tRNA from 1 species
UACUAAGAAAAGGAAUUUAACUUUUAUUUAAGCGUUU